rnacentral:lncRNA from 1 species
GGAAAUUAUCAAUAGAGCCAUCAAAUAGUUCACCUAUUAAAUCUGAUCAGGUUUAUGAAGAACAAAUACUUACUGAAUCAGAAAAAGUUGUGGAAGAUUUACCAAACACAACUAUUUCUCCUAAAAAACCCAUAGAAAAUGUAUUUAAACAAUUAACAAGUAAUCAAUUAGAAAACAAAACAAUAGAUGCCAAAUCAGUAUAUAUCAAUAAUACACCUUUUGACACUCCAAAAUUUAAUCAAGCUCCUACACAACCAACUCCCAAGAUUGGAAGUCAAAAACCUGGAAGACGAAUUCAAUUCAUUACAUUAUCCGCUCCAAAAAAGAAAGAUUAAUGAUAUUGUAGCAGUUUGUUUUGAAAAUAAUUCAUUGUUAAAGAUAAUUACUAGAAGGUAUUGUAAAUAGCUAAAUACAUGAUUUAUUUUUUGAUAAAUAAUAAUCUCU